rnacentral:rRNA from 1 species
UGGGGAAUUUUGGACAAUGGGCGCAAGCCUGAUCCAGCCAUGCCGCGUGCGGGAAGAAGGCCUUCGGGUUGUAAACCGCUUUUGUCAGGGAAGAAAUCUUCUGAGUUAGUACCUCGGGAGGAUGACGGUACCUGAAGAAUAAGCACCGGCUAACUACGUGCCAGCAGCCGCGGUAAUACGUAGGGUGCAAGCGUUAAUCGGAAUUACUGGGCGUAAAGCGUGCGCAGGCGGUUUUGUAAGACAGAGGUGAAAUCCCCGGGCUCAACCUGGGAACUGCCUUUGUGACUGCAAGGCUUGAGUGCGGCAGAGGGGGAUGGAAUUCCGCGUGUAGCAGUGAAAUGCGUAGAUAUGCGGAGGAACACCGAUGGCGAAGGCAAUCCCCUGGGCCUGCACUGACGCUCAUGCACGAAAGCGUGGGGAGCAAACAGGAUUAGAUACCCUGGUAGUCCACGCCCUAAACGAUGUCAACUGGUUGUUGGGAAGGUUCCUUCUCAGUAACGUAGCUAACGCGUGAAGUUGACCGCCUGGGGAGUACGGCCGCAAGGUUGAAACUCAAAUGAAUUGACGGGGUCAUAGCUGUUUCCU